rnacentral:rRNA from 1 species
UACGUAGGGGGCAAGCGUUGUCCGGAUUUAUUGGGCGUAAAGAGCGUGUAGGCGGCCAGGUAGGUCUGCUGUGAAAACUCGAGGCUUAACCUCGAGAUGUCGGCGGAAACCAUCAGACUAGAGUCCGGAAGAGGAGAGUGGAAUUCCUGGUGUAGCGGUGAAAUGCGCAGAUAUCAGGAGGAACACCAAUGGCGAAGGCAGCACUCUGGGACGGUACUGACGCUGAGACGCGAAAGCGUGGGGAGCAAACAGG